rnacentral:rRNA from 1 species
UGGGGAAUAUUGGGCAAUGGGCGAAAGCCUGACCCAGCAACGCCGCGUGAAGGAAGAAGGUCUUCGGAUUGUAAACUUCUUUUAUGAGGGACGAAGGACGUGACGGUACCUCAUGAAUAAGCCACGGCUAACUACGUGCC